CGAUCGCUGGCGGCAGGCUAACACAUGCAAGUCGAGCGGAACGAGUUAUCUGAACCUUCGGGGAACGAUAACGGCGUCGAGCGGCGGACGGGUGAGUAAUGCCUAGGAAAUUGCCUUGAUGUGGGGGAUAACCAUUGGAAACGAUGGCUAAUACCGCAUAAUGCCUACGGGCCAAAGAGGGGGACCUUCGGGCCUCUCGCGUCAAGAUAUGCCUAGGUGGGAUUAGCUAGUUGGUGAGGUAAUGGCUCACCAAGGCGACGAUCCCUAGCUGGUCUGAGAGGAUGAUCAGCCACACUGGAACUGAGACACGGUCCAGACUCCUACGGGAGGCAGCAGUGGGGAAUAUUGCACAAUGGGCGAAAGCCUGAUGCAGCCAUGCCGCGUGUAUGAAGAAGGCCUUCGGGUUGUAAAGUACUUUCAGUUGUGAGGAAGGGGGUGUCGUUAAUAGCGGCAUCUCUUGACGUUAGCAACAGAAGAAGCACCGGCUAACUCCGUGCCAGCAGCCGCGGUAAUACGGAGGGUGCGAGCGUUAAUCGGAAUUACUGGGCGUAAAGCGCAUGCAGGUGGUUCAUUUAAGUCAGAUGGGAAAGCCCCGGGCUCAACCUCGGAACUGCAUUUGAAACUGGUGAAACUAGAGUACUGUAGAAGGGGGGUAGAAAUUUCAGGUGGUAGCGGUGAAAUGCGUAAAGAGACAGAUACUUGACACUCUCGAAUCCCAAAGCGUGGGGCGUAAACGAUGUCUACAUUGGAGGUGUGGGCUUUAGACCCUGGCUUUCCGGAGGCUAAAGCGUUAAUAGAACCGCCUCGGGGARGUACAGGUCCCACGAAUAUCAACCUCCAG
rnacentral:rRNA from 1 species